GCGCUCCAUUGGCUGCGCGGUAUCACGUGCGGACGGGCUCAGCUGACCGCGGUGAGCGGCGGUGAUUGCGGGCCAGGCCCGAGGCCGCAGAGCCGCCAUGUCCCGCGGGCCGGGCGCGGCCGGGCCCCGCAGCAGCCCCGCGGUCGGGGCUCUGGACCUGAACGCGGAGCGGGAGAAGAUCCGGCGGGAGAUCGAGCAGCUGGAGCGGAGCCUGGAGCCCGGCGGGGCCGCCAGCGGCGCGGACGUGUCUGACUGCAGCUCCGGCACGGAUGAUGAUGAAGAUGAUGACUCAGGUUCUCAUCCUGAAAUGGAAAUGGAAAGAGAAGAUGACAGUAGUGAUGAUGAUGAUGAUGGUGAUGAUAUGGAAAGCAGUUUGCCCCAGGAUCCAGAAACCUGUCUGCAGAUGAACCAUGUAUACCAGGAAGUCAUCCAGGAAAAGAUUGAGGAAGUUGAGCUUCUCCUUGCACAAAACAGAGAGCAGCAGAAGGAGAUCAUGUGUGAGCUUGGAGGUCCAAAAAUAGCAAAGGCAGGAGAUGGCAGAAAUCUACCAGCAAAUAUAUUUUUGGGUCAUUUUAUGAAGCCGUACUUUAAGGAUAAAACAACAGGAAUUGGCCCUCCUGCCAAUGAGGAUGCCAAGGAAAAGGCAGCUCAGGGCAUAAAAUCCUUUGAACAACUGAUUUCAGCAAAAUGGAAGAGCAGGGAGAAGACAUUACUGCAGAAAUCAGUAGUCAGUGACCGCUUGCAGCGCCUGCUCCAGCCCAAGUUACUGAAGAUGAGUUAUUGGAAUCAGAAACUGGAGAAAGUCAAGACUGAAAUGGAGAAACAGAUCUUGGAGAAGCAAAUCAAAGAAGUGGAGCGAGAAAUAGAGGCAAUUAACCAACUCCCAGAAAGCGACUUGUUAGGAAACAGAUUCGAUGAGCAUGACUGGGAGAAAAUCUCAAACAUCCAUUUUGAUGGACAACGUGGUCCGGAAGAACUGAGGAAGUUUUGGCAAAACUGGGAGCAUCCAAGCAUCAACAAAAAGGAAUGGACUGAGGAGGAAAUCGAGAGGCUAAAGAAGAUAGCUGCUCAACAUGGUUAUCUGGACUGGCAGGCUAUAGCCCAGGAGUUGGGGACGAACAGGACACCUUUCCAGUGCUUGCAGAAGUAUCAAGUCUAUAAUAAAGAUCUGAAAAGAAAAGAGUGGACCAGAGGUGAAGAUCAGAUGCUUUUAGAGCUUGUUCAAGAAAUGAGAGUAGGAAGUCACAUCCCAUAUAAGAAAAUUGCUUAUUACAUGGAAGGAAGAGAUUCUGCUCAGCUGAUUUACCGCUGGACAAAGAGCGUGGACCCCAGUUUGAAGAAGGGACCCUGGACACCAGAGGAAGAUGCUAUGCUGUUGGCUGCAGUUAAGAAGUAUGGAGAGCGUGACUGGUACAAAAUUCGGACAGAAGUGCCAGGGAGGAGUGAUGCUCAGUGCAGAGACCGGUACUUAAAAGCAUUGCACUGUGAUGUAAAGAAGGGCAAGUGGAGUUUGAAGGAAGAGGAGCAGCUAAUUGAACUGGUUCAAAAGCAUGGACUGGGUCACUGGAGUAAAAUAGCUUCCGAGUUGCCACAUCGUACUGGCUCCCAGUGCCUGAGCAAGUGGAAGCUCAUGAUUGGGUCUAAGAAAAGAUCCAGACCAACAAAGCGCCGGCACGUGGAAGAGAGUUCCAGCUCUUCCGAGACCAGCAGUGAAGACAUAGAACUGGACUUGUCAGACAGUUCGGAGGAGGAGACGACGACAGCCAAGGAGGAGUGUACAUUGCCCGACAUUGAUUUGUGGGUACCAACACAGACAAAUACACAGGAGUCAAGCAAAAGAACCUAUCAAACUCCAUCCCUUUUCUUUCCUGCGAGUACAAAGCCCAGUAGCAGUGAAGUUCCAAGUACAAUGAGUGAUGGAGACAAGGACAGAGUUGCCAAUCAAUCAUCAGAGUUGAGCACCCUCCUGAGGGGCAUUGCACGUCCACAUUCCACAGACAUCGUUGUGAGGAAUCCAGCAGAAGUAAUAAGCAAGGCCUCCAGGUGUGGGAAGCAAGUGCUGCGGGUUACCUUGGAGAACGUGAGAAGAAUACUGAGGAAUAAUACAUGCUUCCAGAGGAAACUUCAAUCAAAGAUACUAAAACCUUCUGCUGCCAUUCUAACAAAAGCAUCUGCAGUUAGUACUGAUGGCCAGAAGCUUCCGGGCCUGCAGGACAUCACAGAGAAAACGUGUCGUCAGGAGAGAGAGCGCUUGAGAAGAAUGAACCUGGACAGAAAGCUGCUGAUGGCAGUGACACCCUGGGUGGGCGAUGUGCUGCUGCCCUGCAGCCUGCAGACUGGGAGGAUGGCUUUUCAUCAGACAAAAGCUGACUAUAUUCGAGAGAAGAUUAAAUCGAUCAAUCUCACGAGCACGCCCCUGUUUGCGCUUUUCAUUCAGCUCUUUCAGAUUGAUACCAACGGUUGUAUGAAGGUUAUUCGUGAGAGGAGGCCGAGGCAGUUAGCGCUGCUUAGGGCUGAUGCAGGGCCUCAGCAGGCUUCCCAAAAUAUGGACACUUCCUCAGGCAGCUCAUCACAAUCUUGUGUUCAGAGGAACUCCCGAAGGGGCAUCCCGAGGAAUGCCGUGAGGAGACCUUUUACAUUAAAAGGAAGGGAGACUGCUGCUGCUGUCUUUGAGAGCAGCACCCCAGCCACACAGGCAGCUCUUCCAGCCCAAGUGCAAAGGCGUAAGCCUAAAACUGUCUCGGAAUUGCUGAGAGAGAAGCGGCUCAGAGAGUCCCGGGCUAAGAAGGCUGUGCAGAGGACAGUGUUUGUUGCCCCACAGAUGCUGGUUUCGGCGCCUCUGAUAAUCCAGCACACGCAACAGCAAAUCAUUCCUUCUGCACAAGCAGGGAGCAAACCUGCAGCAGUUGGCUGUACCAACAACCAGGUACAGUGUGCACCAGCUGCACUGCCAGCAUUUACUUCUGUUACAGGUUCAACUUGUACCACUGUUGUGCUUAAAAACCAUUCCUCACCAGUGCCAGGAAGUGGGGAAAGCCCUGGUUCCUCACAAGGAACAGAACUACAGUCCAAUAAGGAACAAAAUGAACAAGCUUUGGAAGGUAGACUUGAAGCAGGGAUUUUUCCAGGCGUGGAUCCAGCUGCAGCAGAGAAGGCCCCAGAUCAGGGAGUCUGCAAUGGUCAGGUCCUAGCAGGCAGCUCAGCUUCAGUAGUGUUACAAAACCAAUCUUUUGUGCCACAUCAGAUCACAGUGCUGCCUGUUGGCAUUGAGUCUGGCACCAACAAAUUGCCUCUUUCCACACCAGUUGCCCGUGAGCUGAAUAGUAGUGUGCCACAACAGAGGCCUGUCAGUCUCUUGUCGACUCUUGUAACCCCACAAACUGGUUCUCAUUUGAUUCCCAACAGCAUACUGCCUUUCACAUGGGUCAUAACCCCCCAGGCUUUGCUCCCCACUGCUGUACAAACUGUGGUGGGGGUUCCCCAAGGACUGCCAGCUGCUGCUGUGAGAAAUCCAUGUCAGGCAACUGUGACUUCCAGUGGCAAUGUCUCUAGCUUAGGAGUGCCUCCUGUACCAGCUGGAGCAGAUGCACCUCACCCCAGCAGCACAGAGACAAAAGCCCCGAGUGCCCAGGUAGCAGAAGGAGCAUCUUUGGGAAAGGCAGGUAACCAUUCCACAGUUACCUUGUCUAUGACCUCUGUAAGUCCUGGAAGCACCACAGCCAGUGUUUCUCUGGCAACACCAGCAUGUUCAGAGGGCUGCUCCAAGGCUUCGGACUCCCCUGCAGCUCAGACUGCUCCUCCACCCGAUGCACCAGCCCUGCAUGCUGUGCUGCUGCCCCAGACACAGCAACCCGCAGGCACUCAGGGAGCUGAUUCCCAGCGUGUGUCGAGUCUCGCUAGCUUGGGAAAGAGCCAUGAUUCCAUUACAACAAAUGGAUCACCAUCCAAUCCAGGCAUCAUCACAAAAGGACUUGUGCUCCAGCCAGGAGUUCCAGCUCCUCAUAACAACUCCCUAAGCAACUCUGCUGCACAAGUACUGAAAAACAGACCUAUUGCCUCCAAGCCCCCAGCUGUGCAGUGUGCUGACAGUGCACCCCAGCCAACCACUUCCAGGGCAGAAAAGACUGUUGUUGACUUGGGCCUCAUUUCCCUUGAAGACGGGAGGCUGGUGAAGGAGUGGCUGAGUGGGAAACAGGGUGUCCAGGUACCAUCCCUGCAGACCAGGCUGCCUUAUUUGCCACCUUUUCUGUGCAAUUUAAGAGCCCUUGCAAAUUUGCUUCUCCAGAAAGCAGCUCUGGAAGAGCAAGCAGCAUCACUUCUGCCUCCUGGCUUCAGGGGGGAUGAGGGCACCGGGGUUGAUUUGCACGCUGUUGGAGAACUGGUGCAGGAGAAACUUGGUGAUAACCCUGCUUACCUCCUACUGAAAGCCAGAUUCCUAGCAGCCUUCACACUCCCAGCUGUACUAGCAAAUCUGCCUCCUCCGAAAGUGGCAACGACUCUGUCAGCCAGCAGGAAGCAAUAUGAAGAGAGUGACGAAGAGGAGUGGCAGAGUGAGAAGGAAGUGUCUGAGGAAGAGAGUUGUGGGAAUGAGUUAAGAGGAGUACAGCUGGAUUGGACAGUUGGUGAUGAGCCUGUAGACAGAGAUGCUGAUUUACUAAAUCAGGGCAUGGGAGCUGAAGAGAAUGCUGCACAGUCUGCCUUGCACUCCUGCACUGAUGCAGCUGAUGCCAGUGCUCCUCAAAUCAGGAGAAGCACCCGCUUCAGAAAGAGGAGGAGGAUGUGAGAAGGAAAUGUGUUAGUAACUACUCAGUGAACCUUGUAUUUCUUGUCUGAGAGGAGAACCUGAAACACAUGUGUCUGUUGAGUCACUUGAACGAGGUCUGCCUUCCUACAUGGCAGUAGGAGAUGCUGUUUGCACUAUUCACUUCUAACAAUUCCAACAGCCUGACUAGAUGGACCUGGGGAAAGAGGAAAAAGGCUGGACUGGUUUUCCCAUUGCCUAAAGCCUGCAUCUUUGGACAAGAUGCAAAGACUGAAGGAAGUCUUUCCAGCAGAGACCAAUUCUGUU